rnacentral:rRNA from 1 species
UACAGAGGUCCCAAGCGUUGUUCGGAUUCACUGGGCGUAAAGGUGCGCUAGAGCGGUCGGGUAAGUCUGAUGUGAAAUCUCACAGCUUAACUGUGAAACUGCAUUGGAUACUAUCCGGCUCGAGGAAUGGAGGGGAGACUGGAAUACUUGGUGUAGCAGUGAAAUGCGUAGAUAUCAAGUGGAACACCAGUGGCGAAGGCGAGUCUCUGGACAUUUCCUGACGCUGAGGCACGAAAGCCAGGGGAGCAAACGGG